AGCUUGUUUCACUCUUGUUGCCUUUGCUGCCUUCUGUCACCAUGUACUGUUGCCUCUCUGCCAUGUACCUCCUUGCCUUGGAGCCAGAUGAUUAUGGAAUGAAACCUCUACAAACUAUGAGAGCAUCUUGGAAUGAAGUCAAAUGGCUCCAAGAAAUACUUGGGACCUUACAGGUGAAAGAGAUGGCAGCAAAAUCAAGACAGAUCUGAGAACAGAAACAGAACAAUGUGAUGGGAAAGGACAGAGAUCACACAGUAAAUGAGUAAAGGUGGUUGUCUACAAGCCAGAAGAAGUCUUCACCAGGAGCCCAGUCUGCCAGCACCAUGCUCUUGGACUUCUCAGCAUGCAGAACUAUGAGAAUAAACGUCUGGUGUUGAAGCCACCUGGCUUAUGGUAGUUCGUUACAGAAGCCAAGCUGAGUAGCAUGGUACGCCAUACACACUCUCCAGACGCAUGUCUCACCAGAGGUCUCACUGCUCAGUAAUGUGCAGCAGCUCAGCUUCAGUUCCCACCAGUGCCUGUGUACUUUUCUCCCCUUUCCUUCCCCCUUGUACCCCCUUCUUCACCACCACUCUUCUUCUCACAGUAUUACACUCAAGUCGUAGAACACCUUCCCUGGUCCUCUCCAUGGGCACUAUUAGGCCCAACCAUUCUUUGCUGUGGCACUUGUCUUGUUAAAGUUUUGCUUAUUCUUGAUUCUUGAUGUCUAGCACAACUAGAAAUACCAUUAAUUAAUACAUGUGAUCAGGAGAUGCCCACUGACUAAAGCCCAAGUGCGAGUGAAAGAAUGCGUCACAUAUGUCAUCUCAAAUUAACAGCCAAAACCACCAAGGUCAACCAUAUUUAAGUUUCACACUCUCUUUGCCCAUUAUUUUAUUCUCCACUCUCAUGUGCUAUGAAGCUAAGAAUGUAUUUGAAUUUGAUUACCAAAUACUGAACAUGAAAUAUAUAACCUCAACAUCACAAAAGUAUUGCACUAUCACAUCUGCAAUAUUAAGCAUUUAUGAUUGUCACUUUCUCAAACCAUAGUUAUUGGCACUCACUGUAAUUACUAAAAAAUGUUCAACCUGUCCUAGUUUUGAAAAGUGCCCUUACGCAGUCUCAUUUUAGUAGCAACCUGUUUUGACUUUAUUUAUUGAUUUGAAUUUACUCAAAAUAAUGACCUAGAAACUACACCAAAUAAAAGUGCAUGAAUAUACAUGUGAUAUAUCUGAGCUAUUGUUAUUUUAUAUAUCUAAUUAAUAGAUACACAAAACAUACAGCAAAACCACUUGAAUUUUUCCAAGUAAUAUUUAGAAAAGUUAUUUUCCAUACAUACAAAUAUGGAUAAAACUGCUGGCUCUCUGAUAUCUGUUUUCUUCUCCUUCGCAGAUUCUAGGCUAAACUACAUUUCCUAGUCCUCUCACUUAGGAGUGGCUAUGUGAAUUAAAUCUGAUUUCUGAUCAAUGGAAUAUGAGCAGAUGUUCCAUGUACUUCUAGACCUGGUCCACGCAGUCUCCCAUAUUCAGGUCUGUUCUUCCUCAGCUUGAAGAACCCGGAUGAGGAGAGGGCCACAGGACAGAGUCCGAGUCCCUGAAACCUCAGUGGAACAGAAGCAAUGGACUGUAUAGUGAUAAAGAAAUACAUAUUGCUCUGUGAAAUAAAAAACAUUUAACGCUCUUAAUCUCAACUGACACAAAAGUUUACCCCAAGAAUGGAAGCUGCUGUUUAAGUAAAAUCUGAAGCCCAUGGCAUUGUCUUCAUGGUUGGGUGAUGGGGGGAAGGCAGCACUGUAAGGCUGAAGAACACAGUUACGCUGGGGUGAAUCAUUUGGUAAAGGAUAUUCCUGUGAUACCCAGGAGGGUGCACCUACUGCUGCGCAGCCAGAUGGGGGACACAGCUGGAAAGAGCCAGAAUGAAGGUGUGUUUAUUCUCAAAUUGGCUGCCUUCCUGAGAUAUAAGAGAUAAGCACAGGUGAAAAGCGGGCUGGCUUGCAAGGAGAAGUGAAAAGAAGAACUGGAGGAGCUAACUGUUUCUAAGCUGCACACAAACAGAUGGAGAAAAGCUUUGGACAGUAAAAGGAUAUUAAAACAGCUAGAGACAAAGGUCAGAGUGACGGAAUGCAUUCCCCGAAGAGCACAACAGCAUUAAGGGAACUGCCAUUACAUUGAAAGGGAACAGAGAAUGAAUAAAUCAUAUCUGAAGAGUAAGUCCAAGAAAGAAUAUUGGUACCAGCAAACUAAAUUCAAUAGCAUAUUAAAACUGUCAUAUACCAAUAUGAAGUAGGAUUUAUCCCUGGAAUUCAGGAAUGGUUCAACAUAUGAAAAUCAAUUAAGGUGAUGACCCACAUUAAGAGAAUGAGGAUUAAAAGCCAAUCAUCUCAAUAGACAAAAUUUUCAAAUUUCAACAUGUUUUGAAAAAAGAAAAUGUACUGUUAAUUAGCAAGACAUACAAGGAAAUUACCUCACUAAAAUAAAGGUCAUAGAUGAAGAUUUUCCAACUGACAUCAUACUCAGUAAUGAAAACUGAAAGCUUUUCUUCCAAGAGACAGAAAAAGGCAACACUGCCACCCUAGCCUCUUCUGUUCACCAUGGUGCUAAAGUUCUAGCAGGAACAAUUAGUCAACACAAAGCAAUUAAACAUAUUAAAAUCUAAAAGGAAGAAGUAAAACUGUCUCUGUUUGCAAAUGACAUAAUCUUAAACAUAUGUAGGAAAUUCUAAAAACUCCAUUUCCUAGACAAUUGGGACUAAAAAGAAAAGUCAAUAACAUUGAAGGUUAAAAAAAAAGUCAAUUUAGAAAAAUUACCUGGACUUCUAAUAUUAAAAAUAUGCUACGUAAAAAAGGAAAUCAGAACAAAAAUUAUAUCAUUUAUAAUGGCACCAAAAUAAUAAAAUACUUAAGAAUAAGCUCAAUUAGAGAAGUAAAAGAUUCAAAUUCUAAAACUACAAAGACCUCGAAAAGAAAUUGAGAAGCACAAACAAAUGGAAAGAUAACCUGCAUUUAUAGACUAAUAGAAUUUUGUUGAAAGGGACUGUGCUAUACAAAAAUCAGUACAGAUUCAAUACACUUCUUUAUCAAAAUUCCAAUGGCAGUCUUCAUGGAGGUAGAAAAAGCAAUUCUAAAAUUCAUAUGGAAUCACAAAAGAUCCUAAAUAGCCAGAGAAAUUCUCAGAAAUUAAAAUAAAGUUGGAAGAAUCACGCUUUCUGAUUUCAAAAUAUAUGAUGACAAUAUAAUAAUUAAGAGCAUAGUAGUGGUACAAAGAGACCUAUAAACUCACAGAAAACAAUUAAAAGCCAAGAAAUCAACCCAUGUAUGUCGGUAAACUUCAAAAAGGAAGUCAGACCUAUAAAAUAGGGAAAGGGCAGUUUCAACAAAUGUUUUUGAGGAAAAUAAACAUUUAUAUGACAAGGAAUAAACUUGAUACCUUAUCCCAUACGACACAUACAAAUGGCAAUGCAAAAUGGAUCAAAUAUUUAAAUGUAAAGCCUGAAAAUGUAAAAACUCUGGUAGAAAUCAGGAAAAGGCUUCACAAUAUUGGUCUUGGCAAGACUUCUUGUAUAUGACAGCAAAAGGACAGUGAAAAAAAUGAAAAUGGGCAAGCCAACUUAUAUUAAGCUAAAAAGUUUCUGCAAGGUAAAGGAAAUAAUCAACAGAAUGAAAAAGAGACCCACAGAAUGGGAGGAGCUAUUUGUAAACCAUUUAUCAAAAUAGCCUCAGCUCAGGUAACAAAGCCAUUCUGAUUUUAAAAUGGGAAAAGGGGUUGGAUAGACAUUUGCCCAAUAAAAACAUACAAAUAUCCAAUAGAAAUCUGCAACUCAAAGCCUCAGUGAGUAGCAUUUCCUAUCUGUAGGAUGGUUAUUUUUUUAUUUAUUUAUUUAUUUUUUUUUUUUGGUCUUUUUCAUUUUUAUCAGUACCGGCGAUCGAACUCACAACCGCCUGCUUGCAAGGCAGGUACUUAUGCCGCUGAGCUAAAUCCCCAGCCCCCUGUAGGAUGGUUAUUAACGAGUGUUAUUAAGAAUGUGGAGAAACUGGACCCCUCGUACCCUGUUGGUAGGGAUGCAAAGUGGAAAACAAUACAAUACAAAGAUUUCUCAAAAGUUUAAAAACAGAACCAUCAUACAAUCCAGUAAUCUAACUUCUGAAUUCAAAAUAAUCAAAGUGUGGCGCCUGCAGAGAGAGACAGAGCACUGCCACAUUCACCGUAACACUAUUCUCAACAGUAAAGACAUGAAAGCAGUGCAAGAGUCCAUGGAUGGAUGAAUAAAGAAAACACAGUGCAUGUGUAUAGUGGACUAUGAUUCAGACUUUUAAAAAAAUGACAAUGUGGACGAAUCCUGCAGCCAUUACACUAUAAAUCCAAUACAGAAGGACAAACACCAUUUAAGUGAAAUAUCUAAAAUAGUUUAACUUGUUGAAUCAGAAAGAAAUAUGGUGCUUGCCAGAGGGGGAGGAGAGAAAUGGAGUAUGGAAAAUCAACAGACAUUCAAUUACACAAGACCAAUAAGUUCUCGGUAUCUGUUGUCCAGCAUUGUACCCAUGAUUAGCAAUAUGAUGCUACGCACUUAGGAAUUUGUUAACAAUGUAGAUUUGAUGUUAGGCUUUCACCACAGCAAAAUUUAAAAAUAAAAUUAAAAGUGGGAGCAUUAAAUGUGGUUAUUAGCACAUGAAAGUGUAUUGAAUUUUUGAAAGAAUUUAGCUGGUUGAAAUCCCUAGUCUUGCAGUGGAAGCUUGUCUUGUUUCCUCCAUACCUGUUUUAGAGAUGUCUAUAGGGGAUAAUAGAGGAGAAAAACUUCCCGUACAGUGGAGUUAGUCUUUACAGAAAUAGAGAGGGGAAUUCUGCCCAGAGUGGAACACCAAUCCCCAUCCUCCAGGUAAGAGGCCUUUGUAAAACCUGCAUAUGUUCCUUUAGGGUUGUUAUGGGUAAGGGAAUUCUUGGUGCCUCCCAUGGUUUCAUUUCUGUCAUUGCAUAUCUGACGGGAAUAGUGAGGCAGCAGGCAGAUGCAUGGUUUAUUAGGGCUCUAAAAGAGCACAUUCAGAACUGGCAGAGAAUUUCCUUCUGAUAAAUCUACCCACUGAUAGCCAAAUAAUUUUUGGUGAGGUGCCAGGACACACAUUUAGGCAAGGAUAUUCUGUUCAGUGAGUGGCAGUGGGAAAAUUAGAUGUCCACAUGCACAAGAAUAAACCAGAGCUCUUUCUCUUACCACCUGCAAAAGUCAGGUCACAGCGGGUUAAAGGCUUAACUGUAAAACCUGAAACUAUAAAACUGCUAGAAGAAAAUAUAGGGGAUGUGUUAUAUGCCAUUGGCCUGAGCAAAAAUUUUUUAGGACAAGAACAUAAAAUCAAAGACUAAAAAAGGUAAAAUAGAGAAAAACAAGAUUAUUUCAAAAUAAAAAAGUCUUCUGCAUAACAAAGGAAACAACAGAGUGAAGCAGAAACCUAAAUAAUGGAGAAAAUAUUCACAGUUACACAUGUGGUAAGGAAUCAAUAUAUGCAAUAUGCAAACAACUUAAUGGCAAAAACAAUUCACUAGAUAGAUACCCCUUAAAAGAAGACACAAUUAUACAAGUAUAUGAAAAAAAUGCUAGGAAUCACUCAUUGCCUAGGUUAGAGCCACAAUGGCAAAGCACAUCCCAUCUGUUAGAAUGACCGCUAUCAAAAAACAACAAAUACUGUCAGGGAUGUGGGAGAAGGGGAACCCUUGCAUACUGUGAGCGGGAAUGUAAAUGAAUACAGCCCCUGCAGAGAGCAGCAGGAAGGUGCCUUAAAAAUUUAAAAAGUACAAUUUACCUUAUGACCCAACAAUUCCACUACUGCCUAUAUAUCCAAAGGAUAAUAGUUAAUAAUUGAAGUUUCUGAACUUCAAUAUUUAUUGUAGUACUAUUCACAACAGCAAAGUAUGGAAUCAACUUGUAUUCAUCAACAGGUGAAUGAAAAAUACGUUAUAUGUAGAGAGAUAUAAAUAUAGAUAUUCACAUACAAUGGGAUAUUUUUCAGCCAUAAAAAAAUGAAUUCCUAUUAUUUGUGACAAUAUGGAUGAAACUGGAGAGCUUUAUAUGAGGUAAAAUAAGCCAAGCACUGAAUAACAAAUACCGUAUGUUUUCUCUCAGAUGUGAAAUCAGAAAACACUAAGCAAAUACAAGAGCAAACAGUGGCUGUGAGGCUAAGUCAGCUGGGUGGGGUGCAUGGGGCAGCACUGGUGACCAGAUACAAAGUCACAGCAAGGUAAGAGUCACAAAUUCUGGUGUUCCGUUACACAGAAGGGCGAUUGUAGUCAGUGGUGUUGUAUCUGUAUGGUUUGUGUAUCUAGAUGUCGCCCAAGAGGCUUAUGCACUCCCAGGCAGGACUUUGGGAAUAAGACUGGAGCAUGGGUGCUCUACAGUCCAUUUGCUGUUAGGGGACAGGGCCUGGCCAGCAGAAGCAGGGGGUUGUAAGCCUUACUGAAAAGGUACAUCUUCCUCCCUGUCUUCUCUCUCUCUCUCUCUCUCUCUCUCUCUCUCUCUCUCUCUCUCUCUCUCUCUCUCUCUCUCUCUCUCUCUCUUCUCUCUCUCUCUCUCUCUCUCUCUCUCUCUCUCUCUCUCUCUCUCUCUCACCAUCUAUCUCUCCCUUUCUCUCUGUUUCAGUCUUUGUCUCUUUCUCUUUCUGCUUUUUGGCCACCAUGAUGUGUGCAGCCCCUCCACCCCCUCAUGCCUUUCUACCAUGCUGUUUCCUGUCUUGGACUAGCUCAUCAUGGACUGAGCAUGUGAACCAAAAUGAAUUUCUCCUCCUUUAAAUUGUGGGUGUUCGGUGUUUGUCCCAGAGACAAAGAAAGUAAGAGUCUUACAUAAUUCAAAAUAGCUAGAAGAGAGGGUUUUUAAAUGCUCUCAUCACAAAGAAAAGAUAAAUGUCAGAGAUGAUGGAUAAUAGAAAUAGCUUGAGUUGAUCACUGCAUAAUAUAUAAAUGUGCCAAAACAUUACACUGUGUCCUAUAAAAAUGUAUACUUAAUAUCUGUUAGGAAAAGGGAAAAUUGCUUCUAUUCCUUGAUCCAGGACUUCGAGCUGCAGACAGUGAUCCAGUGGUCCUUUGGCUGCUUCCCUGGGAGGAAGUAAAUGGCAUUUACGUUCCAAAGAAGCAUAAGCCACAUAUUUGGUGAGCACAAAGUGGUCGGUAGCCAGGACUGCAGCUGUCUGUCCAUAUUGCGUUUCCUUCCUUGCUAGGCACAUGGCUGCAGUGUAGACUCCAGCCUCCUCUAAAACCAGGAGUGGGCGUGUGGCUCCAUUUCGGGUCGGUUUCAUAGAAACCCAGAGCAUCACUAUGACAAUGCUAAGUCAGGCCAUACAAAGACCUCCAUGUACGACUCUUAUUUUUCCAUCCAGUGAGAUUCUGAGAACCAAAACGAAGACAAAUAGGACUUGAAAGAAACUCAAAAACUAGGAUCCCUUAAUGACUGAGUGGAACAGAAGCAGGGCCCCUUUUUUUCUCAGCAACAUAUAGUAGAUGAUAAAAAGAGCAACAUAUUAGCUUUUAGGAUGCUAAAUACUUGAUAUAUAAGGUUUAUGUGUUUAGUUAUAUACCUUUACAGAUACAAAAAUUAAGCCAAAGCGCACUAGGAUUACAUUGAUUGAAGCAAUUAAUAAGGAAAAAAUGUAAGAUUUAAGCUCCUUCAAAAAGAGACUUUGUUUAUAAUUUUUGGAAAAGACUUUGAAGGUUCAAUUAGUAAAAUAUCUUGUGAUCAACAAUUUAUUCAAAUAAUGAUUUUUAACAAAUAGUUAAUACUAAAAAUAUAAUUGUAAGGGCUUAGAAUUGCCCUUAAGUCUUUAUCAGAACUUGAUAACAUUUAAAGCAGUAUUCAUAAAUAUUUUACAUAUAUUUCUCUUAAGUUGUUUCACUCCCUUUAAUAAUAGCAACAAAUUUAAACAGUCAAAUUAUGCAUAUUAUUCAUCUCUGAUUCAGUCAUGUCUUCUCUUCAAAAGAUUACUGAAUAAUCUUAUGAAAACAAAAAAUGAGAAGAUAACUCAUCCAGUUUUUCACUAAUAUAAGAAUCCCAGCUACAAAACCCAGUGACAUAUGACAGAUGGCUUAUACAUGAAACAGAGAGGCAUCCUGCGUGAAUUAAAUUCAAUAUUUGUUGCAAACAUAUGUUAAGUGCUAUGGUAUAUUUUUAUUUUGGACAGCUCUAUUAUAAAAUGCAUUAUAGAGUUAAUCUGCCUCCUUUGAAUCUUAGAGCUCUAAGAAAAUAGCUAUUCCCCCUUUGACAGAUACCCCUUCCAAGCAUGUGUGUUCCUACAUAUGACUUAGUCAUUGGCACUAUUAUAUUCCUGAGGUCACUACAAGAAAAAUGCAGUAAGCUGACUUUCUUGCCCACUAUCCCUCCAUGAGAGAAAAUUCAGACAAUAUGCUUCCACAAAGCAGCAAUUUAAAUGAAUGAGGCAUUCUAGUUUUUUGAGGAACUUUCACAGUUUUCCAAAAUAACACUUACAUUCUCACUAUGAGUAGGAGAGUUUACCUUCCUCUGCAUUGUCAACAGGUUUUUUUUUUUUCAUCUUUUUUCAACAAUAGCUAGAAUAAUUAGUACAUGAUACCUCAUUGUGGUUUUGAUUUGCAUUUCCCUGAUGAAGAAGUUUUGGGGUGUUUUUCAUAUACUUGCUGGCAAUCUGUAUACCUGCUUUUGAGUAAAGUCUUCAUAUCGUGUUCAGUUUUAAAUGACAUCAUUUAGAUUUUGGUUUCUGUGGGAACUUUUUUUCUAUUUGAGCACCUUAUAUAUUCUAGAUACUAACCGCUUACUGGUUGAAUAGUCCGUAAAUAUUUUCUCCCUUUCUGGAGGUUGCCCUCUUCUGCAGAUUGUUUCUUUUAUGCUCAGGAGCUUUUUGAAAACGUAAUUUUAUUUGUCUGUUUCUGUUUUUGUUGCCUGUGCUUUUGGAGUCAUCGUCAAAGGAAGUCUUUUCCCAGACUAAUAAACUCACACACUUCACUCAAUGAGUACAUAUUCAAAAGAAAGGGAACCAGCAUGUCAGAGUUAUCUGCAUUGUCAUAUUACUGCGACACUAUUCGUAAGAGUCUUAUACACCUCCUCAGUCAUCGAGUUGUCCGCUGAUGGCUGAACACAGUUGAGUGUUUUUCAGCGACGAAACAGAAUUAACCCUGUCACUUGCAGCAACGUGGAGGAACUUGGAGGAAAUUGUGUUGCAUGAAUUAAGUCAGGCACAGAAAGAUGAAUACUGAGGGUUUUCCGUUGUGUCUGGAAGCUAAGGUGUUAAUCUCAGUAGAGAGUAGAACCAUAGGCAGGGAAGUGAGGAUGGAGGGAUGGAGAGAGGAGAUUUAAUUGGUACAAAUUACAGUAGGAAUAAUGAGAGCUAAUGCUCUCAGCACAGCAGGGUAACUUGUUGAUAAUGAAUUGUACAUUUCAGAGCAGCAAGUAGAGAGGAUUUUGGAUAUUCUCAACACUCAGUAAUAUCUGAUAGGGUUAGGAUACAUAGCGCGAUGGUAGAGAUAUUUCCCAACACAUAUAAUGGUCUGAAUUUGAUCCUCAAUGCCACACACACUAAUUAAGUAAUAAAAGACAAAUGUUUGAGAUAAGGGUUUUUCAGUUACCCUGUAGAAUUACUACACAUGAUAUAAAUAUGUACAAUAUCUAUCAAUUUUUAAAAUUUAAAAAAUGAAAGACAAAAAAAAAGAAAGUUCAAAGCAGUUUUAAAGGGAAUGAUGGUAGUUGCUUCCAUGUCCCAGAUGAUUAACUAUAAGCUUUUCAUCAAUUAUCGUAUUAUCUGAUAUAGUCAAUGGUUAUAUAAGUUUUAUAAGCAAGUGAAAAAGAUAAGCAAAGCAAAAUGGUAACACCUACAAUGGAACUAAAAUACUUGCAGAACAAUGCAAAAAGCCCUUCAACCUUUAUGCUAAAAACAGUUAAUAAGUGUUUAAUGUGACAAGCGACUUCAAAACUUGCAAUUAUCCUGCUAAUGCGUGUCGUCACUGAUAGAGGCAAAGAUGGCAGAUAUAGUAUUGUAGUAGGUGUUGUGAAUCCUCUUUCUUAUCUUCUACACAGUAUUUCCGUUAACACUGGUGGGUGUGGGAAGUCUGUGGUCUGCACUGGUAAGUUUAAUAAAAGCUGUAGGAAACCUAAAUGCUUCAUUUUCUACUGAACCUCCUAUGUCUUAACUUCUGCCCUUCUGCCAAACUUGCCACUUUUCCACUGCUAUUAACAUUCUAUUAUACUGUUAAGGAACACAAGGCUCUUGAGAAUUACAAAAUCUGUACUGUUUUGUAGAAUGAAUGAAUUCUCUAGUUGGUAUAAUUUUCCUUUUCUGAAAUACAUUCAUGCAUUCAACAAUAUUUACCUGGUUGUCAAUUAUAUGCUAGGGACUGAGGAUUCCACAGUGUUUAAAACGAAGUCUCUAGUCCUGAGGAAAGGUGCAGGGAGACAGGCGAUGAAACCAUCUAAAGUUGAAUGCAGAGAACCGAGGUAGCAGUCAGGUCAGGUGCAGACAGAGCCUCAUCUACAGGGUGACAUUUGAUAAAGGAUCUGCACAAGCAAGGGUGCACUGCUUAGCAAUCCUACAGCCCUGAGGCAUUCUCACGAAGACAGGCGAGAAGCUUGGACAGUGAGUGGGACAAGAUGAAAUCAUAGCUUGGUGGGAUAGCAGAUCACGUGGGGCUCUCGAGGAUUUCAGGAAGGAUUUGGGAUUUUUCUCUAAGUAAGUCAAAAGAAGAGCAAAUGGAUAAUUAGAGAAAAGUGUCUAAAGAACCCCUUGUCUGAUGUCAUCAUUCUCAUUGGGGAAUAUCUGAACAUUUUAUAGAAUGUUCUAUAAAAAAGUCAAUUAUAAAAGGGCAGGCAUAUUGUUUUGUGUAACUUCUUCAAUGUAAUGAGCAAGACUAGUUGGCCUGAAAUAUUUUGACAAAGCACACCUAAAGGUUAAUGAUGCAUAUAAAAUGAGUGUGGGAUUUUAUGCUACUCAUCUUGAUGCCAACACAACUUUCUUUAAAAUUUAUAGUCAUAAAUUAUAUAUAAUAGUAUACAAAAUGUUCAGAAUCUCCUGUCUCCUAUUGAUAUCACUCAACAUCAUCUUAUUUAUAUUAAUAUAAGAAUAUCAAGUGAUUUUAGCAUAACAAAGAUGUCAUCAAGGCAGUGAGCAUUUGUUAAACACUACAGUUUGCCAAACACAUGAGAUAGCUAUUGCUGGGAUCUGGUGGUAAAUAUCCUUACUACAUAGGCAGAACUCUAAAAUACACUCCUAAGAAUUUUCAUUAUAGUUCAUGACUGCAAAUGUGAUAUCAUACCUGUGAUUAUGUUACUUAUAUGGCAAAAGGAAUAUUGAGAAGUGUGAUUCAGGUUACUAAUCAAUUGAUUUUGAGUUAAUCAAAAAGAACAUGCUCAGGGUAAAUCAAUUGUACUCUCAGUUCUUUCAAAGGCAGAGAAUUUCUUCUAUCUGGUCACUGAAGGGUAAGUCAGAACUGAAGCAUAAGGGAGACCUCCUGCUGUUGCUCACUUGAAGAUGGAUGGGCCCUGAGACUGGUUUCUGGGAGCUGAAUAUAACCUUUGGCUGGCAGACAGCAAUAAAACAGACAUUUCAAAGCAGUAGCCAAAUGAACUGAAUUACCACAAUAUCAGGAAUUAGCUUGCAAAGUAAGAACUCAUGCAAGCCAAUCCCUUGAUUUUGGCCUUGGGAGACCUAAGCAGAGAACUGAAUGAUAUUCUGCCCAGAUUCCGAGGUAAUAGAAACUGUGAACUCUUCUGUGGGUGUGCUUUAAGCUGUUAAACUCAUGAAAACUGGUUAAAAUGCAACAUAAAACCAGUGAACUAUCUGUAAGAAUAUAUGCAUAGCAUAACUGGAAACACAAAAAAGACAUUGGAAAUAAAUUUAACUGAAUAUAAUAAAAGAUUUUUAAAUAAAAGAUAUCAGUAUGUUGGCUAUUAUGGUAUCUAAACUGCCAUAAGAAAAAGAUAAAAUUGUGGCUUUAACUAGAGAUAAAUUCAUCUCUUUCUUGCAAAACUAUACAGGGUGAGAUAGCCCUGAGCCAGCAGAACAAUUCUAUCAUUCUCAAUUUGUGACUUUGGAUCUCUAGCCCAUGGUCCAAGACAGUCUUCUUUACAGCCUUCUAUUGGCAUAAAGGUGGAAGAGGUCCAAGGAAACAUUCCUGGAUUUUUCCUUGGAAGGUGGCCUGGACACUGAAUUACCCAAAGUCUUCUGCUUGCAUCACAUUGGCUAGAACUGCAAGGUCAGGUGAUAAAGGUCAGCCCUAGCUGAGCAGCCUUGUGACUGUCUAAAAUGUGGAAGCUCUCUGAUGAAGGAAGAGGUUGGCGGAUAGCCAGCAGUCUCUGCUACACUCUGAGACAGAACCUUUUGCAUGCCAUUAUGAAUACUGAAUUGUUACGACUAUUUCUUUCUAUGGAAGAGAGUCAGACAUAGACUUCUUCAAAACUCUGCAAAAUUAGUGCUAAUUGUACUUCUAGCCUCUAGACCUGGAGCAAAACUGAGCUCCUCUUCUGUCCAUUGGUCUUUCAAAUACUAGAAUCCGGUGUUCAGCAAGUGUCCUGCGUUAGUUUCAAGGCAUAGAACCCUCCCAUUCUUCUCUGUUUGCUGUUCCUCAAUAUCUUAUAUGCUGUGAGCAUAUAAAGUGUUAGGCAAUCCCUGGACUAGGAACUUGAGUUAGUGAAGUGGCAAAGAAGUAUUUAAAGUGAAGAGCUGAACAAGCUUAACUUUUCAGAAACAAAUAAAUGUAGUAUAUUUUUAGGAAAUCUAUGAAAAUCAUGCUGCCUGAAGUUGGUUUUGUGGGUUAAUGAGAGAUUCAACUGUUCAGUGGGCAUACGAAGCCAGGUAAUGGAGGGUCACAAAUGCUAGAUUGAAGAGUUUUGAUAUAAUCAUUCUAACACAAAGAAGGCCACGUCAAAGGUGAGUUGAAAUAUACACUCUAAACUGCAAAUGCUUGCAUAAAUAUGAAUGUCAACAUGUGUGCACACAACUAGAAAACCAUCAUCUUUCAAAGCUACUAUAUGGCUCUUUCUUCAUUCCUUUCAUAAAACCUAAUGCUUAAAUACAAAUAAAUGUUCCUGAUCUAUGAAACUAAAUAGAAAUAUAAUUUGUAUUUAAUAUGGCAAUAAAUGACUUAAAAUAUAGUAAAUGUUAAACAAUACAAUAUUAAUGACUAGGAAGCAUAAAAAUAUUUUUAAUACUACUAAAAGCUAACACUGACAUUCUCAUUAACAGAGAGUAUUUGCUAAUGUUUCAUAAUAUAGAUGGUUUGCUAAUGUUUCAUAAGCCAUGCAUCAGUGUCUUACAUCUUAUUUAAUAUAAGUUCUGAUAUAAACUCAACAUUAUGGCAUUGUAGGUACUAUACAAAAUUUAUACACUGUAUAAUAAAACUAAUUAAAACCUUCCAGUGAUAGCUUUAUUCUUUGAUUACAAAUCUGUAAAUCAUCCUAGUAUCAAGGCACAAGAGCUCAAGAGAAGGUUUUGACCAUGGUGAUUUCAUAAAAAUGAUCUCCAGAGCUGGUGAAAAUCUGCAAAGCACCAGAAAAGUACAUGGGCAGUAAAUACAACUAAGGAUUUUCUUUGGAGACUGAGCAAUUGCAUUUUUUCCUUACUGACAUAGGCCAGUACAUCACUUAACAUGCAGUACUAAUAUCACUCAGUGCUGUUGCUAUCUGAAUAUAAAUGAUCCUUAAUAGGCACAAAUGAUUUGAAGCUUCAGUCAUUAGUGGUUUAAAUUUUACUUUUUCCUCUUAUUUUCUCUCCUAUUUAAAUUUUUCACAUUUACAGUGUCUUUUGGUAGCACGGUACAGAGAUCAAAGACCUUGCCCACCAAAUGAUAACAACACUCACACCACUGCAUGAUCAAAAAUAUAUAUACAUUCCUAGUUCUGAUUUUUUUAUUUAAAAGAGAUCUCAAACCAAUUUUUAGAUGAAAACACUAGUUUUUCACCUGUUUGUGGUUGUGGUAAAGCUUAUAAAUUCUGUUCAUUUAUCUUUUAUAACAUAUGGAAUGUAUGUAGCUUUUAUGCACCUGGAUCUGUGGCAAAAUUUUUAAAGUCUGAAAAAUGAAGCUGGUAUAGAAGUGCAGGAAGUUACUAUUACCGUUAGUCUGCAUUUUUUUUCUUCUCAUGCAGCUAGAAGGGUGCUCUGCUUUAUUUCUUUCUUUAACUCUGAACUUAUUUCUUCUCUCCUGUUUGCAUGUUUGGAACCAAAUAUUCCCACAGGUUUGUGUCACAUAGUCUGUAUUAGCAGGAUCGUCAUUAGUACUCAGCUGUAAAAGACAGUUUAGGCUGGCACAAUGAAGAACAUUUCAAGGGAAAAAUAGCAAAGAGGACUUUAGUGAUGCAGGGAUGCAGGCUUCACCUAGACUUCCUUUACAGGGUAACCAGCAACAUUGCCUUACCCGGACCACACAAUGAACGUGCCUGUACAGAAAAGAAUAUCUUUGUUCUAUCAUUUGCUUUUCGAAGACAGUGCACUAUUUUUAAUCAGCAAAAUCCUUGUUCUGGCAAAAAUUCCAGAGCUAAUCUUCUCAUGUUACCCUGAGGUUAGUCAGAUUAUUCUUGGUGUUGAGUGUGGUUUUACACACGAAGAGUUUUAAGAGCUCAUUCUGUUUACUUUGGCCUUGCACAUGUAAGUGUAGUCUUAUCCUGAAAAUAUAUAAAGCAUUGUAACAUUCAAAUAACCUGUUUCCACUUUGCUGCCAUCAGAGACAUUAAUCCUGCUCAGCAAUCACUCCGCACACUGCAGAUGGACAUCGUGGAAGAUAAAAGAUCACAUGUAAGUAUCAGCAAUCAUACCCUCCAUGGCUCUGGAUAUGUGUUUAUUUUUAUAUUUCAAGUUUCUAUAUUUAAUUUAACAUUAUUUCCCUCCAGAUUUAGUAAAUAGGGUUUUUGCAAACCAAAAAAUUCUAAUUCUCAUGGGUACAAAAAAGGUUUAUUGUUGAGAUGAGAUACUAUGCCUUUUAAAAAAUCUUUGUUAACAAUAAGAUUUUUUUUUCUGAGCUAAUUUGUAAGGCCUUGCAGAACAGCAGUGUACUUUUUCUGAGUCAUUUCAACCUAUCCUAUUAUCUUCAUUUCCAUUUAGAAAUGACAUAAUCGAUUUUUAUUGUAUUCAACAAUACUACCCCAAGAAUUAAUGAAUAUAUUUUCUAAAUGCUACUGUUUUAAUGAAAUGAAAGCGCUUCUCAGCAAUUUUGCUCAGAGGCAGUCAUAAAAAGUGACUUUGGGGAGUAGACCUGUGAAAACAACUUGGCAUCUGAAAAUUCCUAAUAUAUGUUUAUUGGUUCUUCAUCUUCCUCAAUAAAAGAAACUAAAUUUCUCAAUAAAAGAAACUAAAUUUUUAUUCAGUCCAAUGGUUCAUGGGGUAGAUUUUAAGAAACUUUUCUAGAAGAGUUUAAAUAGCUGACCAAUCUGGAAGAAAGAGAAAGAAGUUCUCCUUUCUCUCUCAGUGUAGAUCCAACCAAUAAGAGAAAAAAAAUGUCAACUGCACAAGAAAUAACACCGAGAGUCAACAAAAUAGAACUACAUCAAAAUAGAACACUUCUGCACAGCAAACAAAACAGCGAAUAGAGUGAAAAGAUGGCCUACAGGAUGGGAAAAAAUACCAGCUAUAUCUCAGACAGAGAACUAAAUAAAUAAUUUUUUAAAAUUAACUCCUUAAUAAAAGAUACAGUCAAACAAUAGGCUACUGAAAUUAAUAGACUCUCCUCAGAAACGAGCCAUAAAAUACAAAAAAUAUUCAACAGCACUGGCCAUUAGAAAAAUGCAAAUUAAAACAACACUGAAAUUUUACCUUAUUCAAAACAGAAUGGCAAUCAUCAAAAAAUCAAAAACCAACAAAUAUUGGUUGGUGAGAAUGCAAGCUACUAAAAUGAUGAUGGAAAUCAAUAUGGAGAUACCUCAAAAAAUUAAAUAUAGAAAUUCCAGUUGUUCCACUAUCAGAUAUCUUCCUGGAAGGAUUAAAGACAUACUAUAGCACUGUAUGCAUACCAAUGUUUGUAGGAGCACAAUUCACUGUAGCCAAAUCUUGGAAGCAGCGCUAUGCCCAUCAACAGAAGAAUGGAUUUUUAAAAAUGUGAUAUCUACAAAUGACAGACUGCUACUCUGCUCUAGAGAAGUGAAUUUGAGUUGGUUGUAGGAAAAUAGAUGUACCUUGAAAACAAAAGGUUAAGUGAAAUACAUCAGACAUGCAAGUUUAAAUACCAUAUAAUUUUUUUCUUAUAUGAGAACUUCAAAGUAUAAAUAAAGAGCAAAAUAAAAUGUAGACAAAGGGAAAUAGAGAGAUAGUUCUUUGGCA